rnacentral:tRNA from 1 species
AGGAUAGUAGUUAAAUAUAACACCUGGUUUGCAGUUAGGAGGUGCUAAUUCAAUUAGCCUAUCUUA